rnacentral:miRNA from 1 species
UAGGCAGAGAUGACAGUCAUACU